AUUGAACGCUGGCGGCAUGCCUUACACAUGCAAGUCGAGCGGUAAGGCCCUUUCGGGGGUACACGAGCGGCGAACGGGUGAGUAACACGUGGGUGACCUGCCCUCAGCUCUGGGAUAAGCCUGGGAAACCGGGUCUAAUACCGGAUAUGACUCCAUGACGCAUGUUGUGGGGUGGAAAGCCUUGUGCGGCUGAGGAUGGGCCCGCGGCCUAUCAGCUUGUUGGUGGGGGAUGGCCUACCAAGGCGACGACGGGUAGCCGGCCUGAGAGGGCGACCGGCCACACUGGGACUGAGACACGGCCCAGACUCCUACGGGAGGCAGCAGUGGGGAAUCUUGCGCAAUGGGCGAAAGCCUGACGCAGCGACGCCGCGUGAGGGAUGACGGCCUGG
rnacentral:rRNA from 1 species